AUUGAACGCUGGCGGCAGGCCUAACACAUGCAAGUCGAGCGGAUGAAGGGAGCUUGCGCCUGGAUUCAGCGGCGGACGGGUGAGUAAUGCCUAGGAAUCUGCCUGGUAGUGGGGGAUAACGUCCGGAAACGGGCGCUAAUACCGCAUACGUCCUGAGGGAGAAAGGGGGGGAUCUUCGGACCUCACGCUAUCAGAUGAGCCUAGGUCGGAUUAGCUAGUUGGUGGGGUAAAGGCCUACCAAGGCGACGAUCCGUAACUGGUCUGAGAGGAUGAUCAGUCACACUGGAACUGAGACACGGUCCAGACUCCUACGGGAGGCAGCAGUGGGGAAUAUUGGACAAUGGGCGAAAGCCUGAUCCAGCCAUGCCGCGUGUGUGAAGAAGGUCUUCGGAUUGUAAAGCACUUUAAGUUGGGAGGAAGGGCAGUAAGUUAAUACCUUGCUGUUUUGACGUUACCAACAGAAUAAGCACCGGCUAACUUCGUG
rnacentral:rRNA from 1 species